rnacentral:rRNA from 1 species
AGUGAACGCUGGCGGCAGGCCUAACACAUGCAAGUCGAACGGCAGCACAGUAAGAGCUUGCUCUUACGGGUGGCGAGUGGCGGACGGGUGAGGAAUACAUCGGAAUCUACUUUUUCGUGGGGGAUAACGUAGGGAAACUUACGCUAAUACCGCAUACGACCUACGGGUGAAAGCAGGGGAUAUUCGGACCUUGCGCGAUUGAAUGAGCCGAUGUCGGAUUAGAUAGUUGGCGGGGUAAAGGCCCACCAAGGCGACGAUCCGUAGCUGGUCUGAGAGGAUGAUCAGCCACACUGGAACUGAGACACGGUCCAGACUCCUACGGGAGGCAGCAGUGGGGAAUAUUGGACAAUGGGCGCAAGCCUGAUCCAGCCAUACCGCGUGGGUGAAGAAGGCCUUCGGGUUGUAAAGCCCUUUUGUUGGGAAAGAAAAGCAGCAGGUUAAUACCCCGCUGUUCUGACGGUACCCAAAGAAUAAGCACCGGCUAACUUCGUG